rnacentral:antisense_RNA from 1 species
CGGCAACGUUCUUCGGUUAAGGUCAAACAAAUCAAACCACGGCCAAAACGUGCCAUAAAAUUGAUAGCCUCGGGCGUCACCUUUUCAGCCGCCAUGAUCA